CAUCACUUCUCAGCAAAAGGUCCAAAAAAUUUAGAGUUUCUUUCAACUUUGAUAAAUCAACUCUACCUUUACAACAACAUAUGCUAAAUGUGAGCCUUAAUGCAUUUUUGGAUUUUCAUAUACAUUCUGCAUACCAAAAUAUAGCUUCAUAGAAACCACAACAAUGUUCUAGUAGACCCAUAUCAAAAGGCUCAACAAAUUUUUCUACACAUAAA
rnacentral:lncRNA from 1 species